CCUACGGGUGGCAGCAGUGAGGAAUAUUGGUCAAUGGCCGUAAGGCUGAACCAGCCAAGUAGCGUGAGGGAAGACUGCCCUAGGGGUUGUAAACCUCUUUUAUGCGGGGAAAAAGGUGUCCACGUGUGGAUGUUUGCAGGUACCGCAUGAAUAAGGACAGGCUAAUUCCGUGCCAGCAGCCGCGGUAAUACGGAAGGUCCGGGCGUUAUCCGGGUUUAGUGGGUUUAAAGGGAGCGUAGGCCGGUCUUUAAGCGUGCCGUGAAAUUUUGGGGCUCAACCAUGAGAGUGCGGCGCGAACUGGGGACCUUGAGUGCGCGGAAGGCAGGCGGAAUUCGUGGUGUAGCGGUGAAAUGCUUAGAUAUCACGAAGAACCCCGAUUGCGAAGGCAGCCUGCCGCAGCGUUACUGACGCUGAAGCUCGAAAGCGCGGGGAUCGAACAGGAUUAGAUACCCGAGUAGUC
rnacentral:rRNA from 1 species